rnacentral:tRNA from 1 species
AAAAUUGAAACAAAUAUUGUUUUCAGUUUCGACCUGAAAUUUUGGAGUAAAAUCUCCCUAUUUUA